UUAACGUGUAGCUGCAAUAAUUUCUCACAUUUGGAAAAGUUACUUAAGAAGUCUCAAUUAGGUCGUUGGAGUUAAUAGAAACUAAUUUCCCUGAAUUCGUCCGAGUUUAAAAAUAUGAUAACUGUCAAUUAUAUGGGAAUAAAAGCUACUCAACAACUCAAAGUGAAACUAAAGACUAGACGAACAGGUAAACAGCUUCCAAUUUCGAGAAAAGGUGACUAUUACAAGCUGCGAUAUUACAAAUUCGAUACUUUGGUAACAAGAAAAAUGGGAACUGAUUAGCUAAUGGAAAAUUAAAAAGGUAAAAGGCAAGAUAGAAUCUGUAGGGACAUUACGAAGGAUAAAAUACUGCUAAAAGUAUUAUUCCACGUGAAAGUUUGCAGAGAACAUGUACAUUUUAUAGAACAAAUGUUUGAAUCGCGCGAUAAAUCGAUCAAACAAAAUAUAUUGGCCAAACGUGCAAUAUAUUGAUCGAAUCAGGUAUUACAAAUUUGCGACAUGAAAAGGAAAAGAUGAAGUGAUAUUGAUGUAACAGUCAUUCCUAGUUGUGGAGAGUAUUGAAUAAUGAAAAAUACUUCCGCGAAAGAACAAGAAAUAAAUCGGAUAAAAUAACUGCGCAAUAAUUCUCGAAAAUGGAAUGUUUACGUGUUUGGCAUUUUGCGCUACAUGAAAUAAUAGGAAACAUAUUUCAAAGCCUAUAUUUGAGCAAGCUUAUACUUGUCCAAAGCUUAUAUUUCAUCGUACAUUUGUACAUUUCUCAAAUACCGGAAUAGAAUGGACAACCUGUUGCAUAAUUUAUGCGAGAUGAAAAGUCCCGCGAUGCAAUUU
rnacentral:misc_RNA from 1 species